GGCUCAGAAUGAAUGCUGGCGGCGUGCUUAACACAUGCAAGUCGCACGAGAACCCCUGGCUUGCCGGGGAUAGUAAAGUGGCGCACGGGUGAGUAACACGUGAGUAAUCUGCCUUCGAAUCGGGGAUAACCCCGCGAAAGCGGGGCUAAUACCGGAUGAAGUCCGGAUGGUUUUGGCUGUUUGGAUGAAAGGUGGCCUCUACAUGUAAGCUACUGUUUGAAGAUGAGCUCGCGGACCAUUAGCUUGUUGGUGGGGUAAAGGCCCACCAAGGCAACGAUGGUUAGCUGGUCUGAGAGGAUGAUCAGUCACACUGGAACUGACACACGGUCCAGACUCCUACGGGAGGCAGCAGUGAGGAAUUUUGCGCAAUGGGGGAAACCCUGACGCAGCAACGCCGCGUGAGUGAUGAAGGCCUUCGGGUCGUAAAGCUCUGUCGAGUGGGAAGAACCUGCAUUGGAGAUAAUAUUCCGAUGCACUGACGGUACCACUGGAGGAAGCACCGGCUAACUCCGUGCCAGCAGCCGCGGUAAUACGGAGGGUGCAAGCGUUAUUCGGAAUCAUUGGGCGUAAAGGGCACGUAGGCGGUUUGCUGGGUCGGAUGUGAAAUCCCGGGGCUUAACCCCGGAAGUGCAUUCGAAACUGGCAGACUUGAGUAUGGGAGAGGGAAGCGGAAUUCCUGGUGUAGAGGUGAAAUUCGUAGAUAUCAGGAGGAACACCGGUGGCGAAGGCGGCUUCCUGGACCAAUACUGACGCUGAGGUGCGAAGGCGUGGGGAGC
rnacentral:rRNA from 1 species